AUAAGGCUGGACGACUAAAGGAA
rnacentral:miRNA from 1 species